GUGAUCCUGUCUUCAAACCUGCUUCUCCUGCUGCUUUACAGAUCUCCAUGUCUUUGACAGAGAGCGUUAGAGCAAGAAGGAUGAAAAUGCUGAACCUCUCCCAGCUCUGGUAGUUGAGGAGAGGGGGUUUUGUGGAGAAGUGAUGUAGGGGCUUUGAGCACCAGCCUCUGUUAGCUGUAAGUACAAACCACUGAAAAGCACCAGAGCUUUCCCACUGAAGUAAAGGCAUUGGGAACAGGAGAUUAAUGGGUUGCCGGCUGUGUCGGCGUGAUAAGCCAAGCAAGAACCCAGACGCUUUCAGUCAAAAAUGGAUUGAGACCUCAGCAGGGACACAUGGCAAAUCAGCCAGAAGCCACACAUGGAAAACUGAGCAAGGCAGCAUGGGCAAACAUUCCUUAUCUUUGCUUUACGUCAAUAGAAAUAGCAUUGUAAAAGAGGCAGCAAAGUAUUUGCUGGAGGGGAGGAGGGAAAAGUCCACACGCUUUCUUGGCUGUACAUGUAGGUUUUAAAAUGCUACUGUUUUCCUCAGAAACUUGUCAUUGAAAACAAGCAUCCAGCAAAAACCACCCAGUAAGUUCUUCCAGAAGGCUUAUUUGCUUGUUUUGGUGGAUUUAGCCCAGCUAUGCUAGCAGGAAUCUGCCUGCCACUGCUGUUGUGCUCCAAAGGUGGUUGGGAAAGCACAACCUCUUAAAACAGUCUAAAGCACAGCUGUGAUAAUUACGCCAUCUACUAUGAUUUGCCACAAAAUAGGACUCAGGGGAGAGGCAGACCUCAGAAAUCUGGGCUUUCUACAAGGUAAUGUUGUCUGCACCAUGUCCCUGUUUCCCACAGCUCCUGCUUUUACAGCAGCCCAGCCCAAUUACCUUCAUCGGCUUUUUCUUUGCUUUCUGGUUUUAUUGUUUUAAGGCUAAUUAACAGAAGAGCGGAUGAGUCCCACAUUUCUUGUGUGGGUUUUUUUUUUUUCUUUUUUUUGGUGGUGGUGGUGGUACUUCUCAUUUUUCUGAGUUUUCCUUUUGCUUUUAAGCAAUUGUAUGCAAGAAAAUCAUCUUUCCUACCAGAGGCAAUACCGAGGAAGAAGACUCAGCAAGAAGAAUAGCAAUUAAGGUUGCAGUGUUUCUCUCUCCACUAUCCCUCAGACUUUGCAGGGAUUGAAGGUGUAUCACAGCUCCUGAACCUGUGAGAAAAAAGAUGUCUGUGCUCACUGAGCUGCUUGACAGAUAAGCCCCAUCCCAGAUUUGAUUUUCUUCAGAGAAAACACACUGAAGAGUUGACAAAAACACUAACAUUUUUAAGUAAAAGGUAACCCAAUUAAAUGGUAACAGUUGUGCAGCAAAGGGAAUAUAAAGAGUGUGUAAGUUAUAACGAUAGGUGGUGGGGACCUUGUGUGUUACUGUGCUGGAGUGCAAAGCUGCACUGUAAGCACGAAGUUUCACAGGAAUUUCAGUCCAAUUGGAAGUGAAAUGACCAGAGGUCCCACAGACUUGACUUUGAGAAGUCACUAAUCUGAACAUCCCACAUGAGACAGACAACUGAGCUGGGACAAGCGACUUUUCACAUCUCUGCAGGGGCUUGAAGUGUAGCAGUGUUUUUCGGGCGGAACAAAAGUCACAUGCUGGUACCCACCUUAAGGAAAGGCAGAAAGGUGAGAUACUCUGCAGGACACGUGCCAACGGGACAGAAACACCUCAGGAAAAUGUGAAGAACUAAAAGCAAACAGUACAAGAAUUAGAAAAUGCAGAACACAAGCACUACCAAGCAAUGAAAAAGAGUUGACCCUAACAUCUGGAUCAUUCUCUGCAGCAUCUCGGCCCCCCUCAGCAUGCUACCCAUAACCUGCCAAGCCCCGCUGCCGGGCAGCACAGCUCCCAUGCCCGUGCCCGCGCCAGCCUACGGAGGUUUAAGUGCUCAAAGCUCCACCUAGUGAGGGGACAGGCUGUACUACACAUUCAGCAUCCAAGUCAAGCACGGAUGGACUUCAGACACAAAAAAGUCUGGAAGCUAACAAACCCUUUAGCGUUACGCUGCCUGGGUGUUGAUAAUCCAUCACACCCCCACCCAAGGUCCCAGAAGGCGAGAGUACAGCCUCUCCCCUGUGUCCAGAAACAUUUUCUUCCAGCAUGACCUCACUGAAGUGACUUUGUAAGAACGCGCCUGAAGUGACAUCACUUGGCUUUCAUCAGCUGGCUGCUGCUCACCUCUCUUUCACAAGGGACUGACUUGAAGCUCUCCAACUUCGCUGGAAGUCCAACUUCAAACCAACAUCUCCUUUCUGACGAUCAAAAUAAAUACACCACUAGUGUUGUAUGUCCAAAAGUUUUAAUACAUGGUCUUCACUGUUCAGAAAAAUUACUGCAUUAAAUUCUAAUACAUAAAUUUAUCUGAAUUU